UUUGCUUCUCAUUCUAAAUUUUAAAAUAAUUUUAAAACAGUCUUUAAAGUUCUUUCUAGUCCCACCUGGAAGUGACAGAUAGCUGGUGUCUCCCAUCCUGUCUCCCACCUGGGGCUCUAGCUGGCAGGCCUCUGAACACACCUGGCACCACAGGGAACAGCUACUAGGACUGAAGCGCGGGCACCGCAUUGCCUCGGAGAGCCCUUGGGCCGGGAGUCUCCAGACGGGCAUGGCGCUCAGGGACUGCUCACUCUGGAGAGAGCUGGGCCAUGACACGUGAGCGCAGGAGACACAUUUGAAAUCAAGCACCAUGUUCAAGUCUUAACUAUACAGAAGCCCUGCAGUGCGAGGAUGGAGAGCUGUGCCCGCGGGGCCCCGGCUGACCUGGCACCAGCUCUCCUUUCCUGGAGUGUGAGCUGCCAGCUGCCCCCUGGCUCCAGGUGAUGUUCUGUCAGGGUGGCCCAUUUUGUGAGGCCACCUGGAAGUGUCUGGGUCAAUGACAGAGCAGUCACUGCUGUCAGGCAUUACAGGAUUUUGCCAACAAGUGGUAUAAAAACCCCUACAAA